rnacentral:rRNA from 1 species
CGAUGAAGCCCAGCUUGCUGGGUGGAUUAGUGGCGAACGGGUGAGUAACACGUGAGUAACCUGCCCUUGACUCUGGGAUAAGCGUUGGAAACGACGUCUAAUACCGGAUACGAGCUUCCACCGCAUGGUGAGUUGCUGGAAAGAAUUUUGGUCAAGGAUGGACUCGCGGCCUAUCAGCUUGUUGGUGAGGUAACGGCUCACCAAGGCGACGACGGGUAGCCGGCCUGAGAGGGUGACCGGCCACACUGGGACUGAGACACGGCCCAGACUCCUACGGGAGGCAGCAGUGGGGAAUAUUGCACAAUGGGCGAAAGCCUGAUGCAGCAACGCCGCGUGAGGGACGACGGCCUUCGGGUUGUAAACCUCUUUUAGCAGGGAAGAAGCGAAAGUGACGGUACCUGCAGAAAAAGCACCGGCUAACUACGUGCC